rnacentral:rRNA from 1 species
CCUACGGGAGGCUGCAGUGGGGGAUAUUGCACAAUGGGGGAAACCCUGAUGCAGCGACGCCGCGUGGGUGAAGAAGCGCCUCGGCGCGUAAAGCCCUGUCAGCAGGGAAGAAAAUGACGGUACCUGAAGAAGAAGCCCCGGCUAACUACGUGCCAGCAGCCGCGGUAAUACGUAGGGGGCAAGCGUUAUCCGGAUGUACUGGGUGUAAAGGGGGCGCAGACGGGGAUGCAAGCCAGGAGGGAAAGCCCGGGGCCCAACCCCGGGACUGCUCUUGGAACUGCGUGGCUAGAGUGCAGGAGGGGCAGGCGGAAUUCCUGGUGUAGCGGUGAAAUGCGUAGAUAUCAGGAGGAACACCGGUGGCGAAGGCGGCCUGCUGGACUGAAACUGACGUUGAGGCCCGAAAGCGUGGGGAGCAAACAGGAUUAGAUACCCCAGUAGUC